GAUGAACGCUGGCGGCGUGCCUAAUACAUGCAAGUCGAGCGAAUGGAUUAAGAGCUUGCUCUUAUGAAGUUAGCGGCGGACGGGUGAGUAACACGUGGGUAACCUGCCCAUAAGACUGGGAUAACUCCGGGAAACCGGGGCUAAUACCGGAUAACAUUUUGAACCGCAUGGUUCGAAAUUGAAAGGCGGCUUCGGCUGUCACUUAUGGAUGGACCCGCGUCGCAUUAGCUAGUUGGUGAGGUACCGGCCCACCAAGGCAACGAUGCGUAGCCGACCUGAGAGGGUGAUGGGCCACACUGGGACUGAGACACGGCCCAGACUCCUACGGGAGGCAGCAGUAGGGAAUCUUCCGCAAUGGACGAAAGUCUGACGGAGCAACGCCGCGUGAGUGAUGAAGGCUUUCGGGUCGUAAAACUCUGUUGUUAGGGAAGAACAAGUGCUAGUUGAAUAAGCUGGCACCUUGACGGUACCUAACCGGAAAGCCACGGCUAACUACGUGCCAGCAGCCGCCGUAA
rnacentral:rRNA from 1 species